rnacentral:rRNA from 1 species
UACGUAGGGUGCGAGCGUUGUCCGGAAUUAUUGGGCGUAAAGAGCUUGUAGGCGGUUUGUCGCGUCUGCUGUGAAAAUCCGGGGCUCAACCCCGGACUUGCAGUGGGUACGGGCAGGCUAGAGUGUGGUAGGGGAGACUGGAAUUCCUGGUGUAGCGGUGAAAUGCGCAGAUAUCAGGAGGAACACCAAUGGCGAAGGCAGCUCACUGGGACGGUAUUGACGCUGAGACGCGAAAGCGUGGGGAGCAAACAGG